rnacentral:ncRNA from 1 species
UAAAAUUACGUUAGAAAAGAUGAGUAAUUAUUUUACGACCAAUACAGAGAGCCAUAGGAGCUGAGAAAUGGCAGGAAACGAAAUAAUGAAGAUGGUCUUUGGUUAAUUGAGAGGGUGAACUUUGCUUAAAAGCAAAUUCUCUACGGGGUAGCAACCGUUAUCUAUGCUUCUAAUUUCAAGCUGAGAUUAGAAUGGAGGGUACUUUUGUACUGAAGACAGGGUGGUAACACGUUAUUAACGUCCCUAAG